AGAUUGCGUCAGUAGCGGCGAGCGAAAGCGCAAGAGGGCAAACCCAGUGCUUGCACUGGGGGUUGUAGGACUGCAAUGUGCAAGAGCUGAGUUUAGCAGAACAUUCUGGAAAGUAUAGCCAUAGAGGGUGAUAGUCCCGUAUGCGAAAAACAAAGCUUAGCUAGCAGUAUCCUGAGUAGGGCGGGACACGAGGAAUCCUGUCUGAAUCCGGGUCGACCACGAUCCAACCCUAAAUACUAAUACCAGAUCGAUAGUGCACAAGUACCGUGAGGGAAAGGUGAAAAGAACUGAGGUGAUCAGAGUGAAAUAGAACCUGAAACCAU
rnacentral:rRNA from 1 species